AAAACGGGGCUGACGCGGGUCAAAGUGUAGUAUCUGCUCUUCGCAGCCUAAUAUCUGAUACAUGUAUUUGCACUCAAGAUAUUAAACUUAUUUUUGCAAGUUGCCUGAGUGCUGAAAGCCUCCUUCACCUCUACCGCGAGUUGUCCCAGUUUUGCACAAUCUCCGGGAUCGGCUCACGUUUU